rnacentral:SRP_RNA from 1 species
GCCAGGCGCGGUGGUGCAUGCCUGUAGUCCCAGCUAUUCAGGAGGCUGAGGCCGGAGGAUCUCUUGAGUCUAGGAGUUCUGGGCUGUAGUGCACUAUGCUAAUCGGGUGUCUGCACUAAGUUUAGCAUCAAUAUGGUGACCUCCUGGGAGUGAGGGACCACCAGAUUGCCUAAGGAGGGGAGAACUGGCCCAGGUCAGAAAUGGAGCAGGUCAAAACUCUCGUGCUGAUGAGUAGUGGGAUCUCGCCUGUGAAUAGCCACUGCACUCCAGCCUGGGCAACAUAGUGAGACCCUGUCUCU